rnacentral:lncRNA from 1 species
UUUUUUUUUUUAAUUUCCCCACUGGAGUUAGAGCUCCUGGAAAGCAUCCUUGUCUCUCUUGGAUGCUGUUUGUCUUCAGUUUUUGGCAUAGCAUCUGUAAUGGUGGUUGAAUAAAUGAAUGAAACCAGGAGGACUGAUUCUUUCUUUCUUUCUUUCCUUCCUUCUUUCUUUCUUUCUCUCUUUCUUUCUUUCUUUCUUUCUUUCUUUCUUCCUUCCUUCCUUCCUUCCUUCCUUCCUCCUUUUCUUUUCUUUUCUUUUCUUUUCUUUUUUCUUCUUUUCUUUCUUUCUGCUUUUUAGGGCUUCAUGUGCGGCAUAUGGAAGUUCUCAGGCCAGGGGUCAAAUUGGAUCUACAGCUGCCAGCCUACACCACAGCCAGAGCAACACCAGAUCUGAGCCGCAUCUGCGACUUACACCACAGCUCACGGCAAUGCCAGAUCCUUAACCCAGGGAGCGAGGCCAGGAAUCGAACCUGCGUCCUCAUGGAUCCCAGUCAGGUUCAUUACUGCUGAGCCAUCAUAGGAACUCCCCUUUCUCUUCCUUAAUAUACUAACUCCUUAACCCAUCUAAGCCUUUUCCAUUUUCUGAUACCUCUUGCUGAAAGGUUGAACGAAGUCACUGAUAGGACGGAGAUUUUCUCUCUUUGUACCAACCAUCUUUGAGAUUUUCACCCUCACUCCAUUGCCGAUUAGCUGGAUGACACUGGCUGAAUCUCCCGUCUUCCUGGGACUCCCUUUAGUCCAUCUGUGAGAUGAGCAAAUAGAAUGAAACUCAGUGGUUUACAGUUUUUUAAGCGUCAGGAAAGCCUCCCCUCUUUUAUUUCUGGUGAAGUCUUAUGCAAAACCUCAAAUAGCUCCAUCGCAAGUGAGAUGGGAGGUCUGCAGCCCUGCCUCUCACCCUCACACUUGACCCCUGAGAUAUCUGUGUAGCACCUGAGGUCUUUGGAUGCAGCUCGCAAACCACUGUCCAGCUCAAGCAACCUCUGACUAACACAGCCACUUUUUCGGAGAUGAAUGCUGUGGCAAGUAGAUGGCAAAUAAAUCCGUACUGUCCAGGGGGUAAAGCGUAGGUCUCAUCUCUCUGUGCUACAGAAAUCCCCAAACAUUUGUACUUGUUAAAACAAAUGAAGGGAGAGAAUAUAACCCUAAGCUGAGCAAACUGAAAAAAAGUGAACCUGACUUAAAGGAACCUUGGAGAAGACAUGCUCUCCAAGUGGCUUUUCUUUUUCUUUCCUCUGGAGGGAACAGCAGUACGCCUCGCUGGCUGGGAAAGCAGGGAAUUUGGGCAUCAGAACUCUGGUCCCAGGGUCUGUGUCCUACUCAGUCUGUAAAGGAUGAGGCAGGAGAAACCACUGCUAUAGCACUAUGCUGGGUAUUCAUUAAAACAGGCAGGGCAGGCGAGUGGGAAGAGGCAGGAUGGGACACAAGGGUGGGCUUCUGAGUCUCCUGGGGCUCCAGUCCCUGUUAACGAGGGCCUCCAGCAAACAACUCCACCUUCUGAACCAGCUCCUCUGCCGGUGCUCAGUCAGGACUUCCUUCCCCUCUUCUAUACCUGGGCUCCUCGGAGAAUCUGUCUUUAUCCACUCAGGCGCUUUUAGUCCUGUGUUCCCCAGUAACUCUUAACUCCACUGAUUUAUUUUGAACCAUGCUGAGUAGCAAAGUAGCGUUUUCAGCUUCGUCCUUGCUUCCCCUUCUUUGGGGGAGAGUAUACGCUUCUUGAGGCCAAAGAUGGAUAUUCGAGGCGUCGCAAAGGUGCAAGAGUGUCUAACACGAUGUGCCUUUGACAUCAUUCAGUUCAAACGAAUGUUUAGAAAAGACUUUUCCUCUUUAUGAAAGUAAUAUAUAUUUAUUGUAGAAAAUUUAACCUAAGCAGAAGGAAAGAAGUGUAUAUAAGUGUCAAAUGGUGAGAGCCGCUUCCGGUGUCUUGAUAGACUGGAUGAAACCCCACUAAUACACCUUGUGGGACCUUGACACCCUUUUCGUGGUACCACUGCCCCUGGACCAGGUGCAUGCUUCACAGAUGUCUUUCUACUUUAAAUACAUAGACCUGGAAGUAAACCUCUUGUUCUUUGACUCAGUUUUCCCUCUUCCUUUCAACCAACCAACCAACCCACAUCCGUGCCUGCAAGGUGUUUGUGUAGACAGCAAACUUUACUUAGGAUUUGGAAGACGGAGGAGGGCUAAGGUAGAGCAAAACAAAUCCCUUCACACUGAUAUUAGACAUGCCUUUUCUUUUUCUUUUUGAAAGAGAUUUUUAAAAAAAAAUUUUAAACAUUGGUUUAUUAAAAACAUUGCAUUAAAAUUAAAAGGCAAUUGAAAAAAAUGGGAAGAUUAUUUUCACUACAGAGACAGAAUCUUUUAGUCUAUAAGAACUUUUACAAACCUAUUUGAAAAGCAACUAAACAACCCUAAUAUUAAAAUGGUAAAGUAUAAUAGGUAUACACUUCCUGGAAGUAAAAAAUGAAAUGUUGGAUCCAUAUAUUCAAAACUUCCAAUUUCAACUUUGGUCAAAUAUAUGAAUUAGGAAACUUUAGUUAGAAAAUGAUUAUAGUCUUUUUUGGAAGUUCACUUGUGGCAUAGAGGGUUAAGGAUCUGGCAUUGCCACAGCUGUGGCAGAGGUGGUAACUGCAGUAUGGGUUCAAUUCCUGGCCCAGAAACUUGUGCAUGCAGUGGGUGUGGCCAAAAAAAAAAUGGAAAAAAAUGUAACUCAACAUAAUAAAGGCUAAAUAUGACAAAGCCACAAUUCAAAACAUAUUUAGGAGUUCCCGUCGUGGCGCAGUGGUUAACGAAUCCGACUAGGAACCAUGAGGUUGCGGGUUCGGUCCCUCCCCUUGCUCAGUGGGUUGACAAUCCGGCGUUGCCGUGAGCUGUGGUGUAGGUUGCAGACGUGGCUCGGAUCCCGUGUUGCUGUGGCUCUGGUGUAGGCCGGUGGCUACAGCUCCGAUUGGACCCCUAGCCUGGGAACCUCCAUAUGCCGCAGGAGCGGCCCAAGAAAU